rnacentral:tRNA from 1 species
AGGCUUAGUAGUAUAAAUAUUACAGCAAACUGCAACUUUGAAAAUAUGAGUCUCAUCAAGCCUU